rnacentral:rRNA from 1 species
UACGAAGGGGGCUAGCGUUGCUCGGAAUUACUGGGCGUAAAGGGCGCGUAGGCGGCACGGCAAGUCAGGAGUGAAAGCCCUGGGCUCAACCCGGGAACUGCUUUUGAAACUGCCGAGCUGGAGUGCGGAAGGGGCAACUGGAAUUCCCAGUGUAGCGGUGAAAUGCGUAGAUAUCAGGAGGAAUACCGAUGGCGAAGGCAGGUCUCUGGGCUGACACUGACGCUCAUGCACGAAAGCGUGGGGAGCAAACAGG